rnacentral:lncRNA from 1 species
UUUUGUUUUUUACAGAGUCCCUGUGAAGCAGGCAUAGUGAGAACAGGCUCACUGCAGCUCAGUAGUUCCUCCAUCAGGGAACUUCAUCUUUGAGGAGAACAAAGCGAAAAGCCCCUUCCCCACCCUCCAAAGCAGCCCAGCGUUCAAGUGAUGGAAAUGGCCGAGUGAUUGGUAAUGUUACUUUUCCCAUUAACACUAUCAUUUGUAUUAUGUUCUGCUUAAUACAAACAGAAAUGAUAUAUGUUUGUCUUUUUAUUAAAUAAUGACAUUUAGGAUUUAUAAAUAGUCCCUGAUUAUUCUCACUUGACUGCUUUCUAUGAAUCGGCAACACAAAAUAAAAUGACAAAAUUAUAUGGCUUCAUUAUCCUAAAAUGAGCAGAUUGUAAUUUGUAAACUUAUUUAGAAAACAUUGCCACUCCAGGAUUGACUUAUAUAGUAAGAGGAAUGAAUCUAAGUGGAAUUUUGUCAUUUCACAGUUGGGUAGUAAAAUGACUUUUAGCAAGGUUAAGGCUCAAUUAUUUCUGGAUUAUAUAAAAAAAGCUACAGUGAAGCUGUAUACAUAAAGCUGUAUACAUACAUAAAGGUGCUUUAUGUAUGAGGCUUAUUUAUAAGUUGUGUUGUUCCUUUCAGCCCUGCAGUUAGUAGAUGGGAUUCCUCCAGACAGUGCUUUGGAAACAAGCUCUCCUGAGGGGCCAUCCAGGAGAGUCAAGUACUGACCUUGACUCCACUCUGUGUCAGUACUCAAAAAGAAUUUCCAUGCCAGUUGAGGAAUGGAUUUAAUUAGAAUGCUCUAUGAAAGAGAUCCGAUUCUUUGACCUCAUUUCCCAAAUUUAUUUCGUGAAAUGAAUUCUCCUUCCCUUACUCCCCCCAGGAGUAGAGAUUAGAGUCUGAAACUGGCACAAAAUCAACAUUUCAGUUCUGGAAUUAUACCUGGAGGACUUUCCCUGUUUGGUCUCUUGUUUUUCCUUAUUCAAUGUCAGGUCGACAUUUGUUAACCUCCUUCCCAAGAGUACUGACACAUCAUAGUUAGAAACAUUUAGUAUGUUUGGGGAAAAUUUUACAUUAAAAUAUAAGCAUAGUUUCUUUAAGCAAUGCUUCUAGGUAUGAAUUCAAUGACCAGGUAUCCUACAGUCAUGGUAAAAAUUUGUUACCCUGAAAAUACUUUCUAUUAUAUAACUUGCAUUAUCAGUUCUCCUCAAAUAAGUAACUGAACUAAAUUUUAUUAAAAGUAUGUACACUAUGAUUAAAUUUUAUGUGUAUUUUGACUUAUAUGUUCAAUUAUCAAUAUUAAAUUUGCAUAUAUAUUGGUAUAUAUUGUAUAUGGGAUAUAUUCUUCAUCCCCAUGUUUACCAAAGUUGUAAUCACAUGACUCACAUUUUACUUAUGCCUGUAUCAACAUGUGGUUUUAUAUAUGCUUUCAUACAUAAUUUCACAGUAUAUUCUUAUGAAUAUUGAUAUUUCCCAAUUCACAUAUACAUUCUUACACUAAAACCCUAACACAAUCCAAAAUUUUAUAAUGACCUUUAUAUUACUUCUAUAAGAAAGGCAAAUUUUACUUCAGUCCUUGUACACCAAUAAGAAUUUUAAAGUGUAUUUUGACUUUUAUUUUCAAUGAUCAAUAUUAAAUUCACAUACAUAUCAUUGUAUAUCAUUUAUAGGGUAUAUCCUUGAAACUCCCUAUUUACAAAAUGUCUCAUCAUAUAAUUCAUAUAACAGUCUCCCUAAUGUCAUACCAUGCAUGUUUUUUAUGUAUUUUUAACAUAUUUUCACACAUUCAUCUUAUGAAUACAGAUAUUUCCCAGUAUACAUGUCCAUUCUUUAACCCUAAUCCUAACUCAAACCAAAAUUUUAUAUUAUCUUUACAUUACCUUUUUAUCUAAAUCCAGUUUUACUUGAAUUCAUGUAGUCCAAUAAAUUUUAAAUUGUAUUUUGACUUCUAUUUUAAUUGUUUAAUGAUAAAUCUGCAUCUAUACUAAUAUAUGUCAUUUAUAGUUUAUAUCUUCACCUCCACUUAUAUACAACAUGUGUAAUCACAUGACUCAUAUUGUAUUCUUCUCUGUGUCAUAACAUGUAUGUUUAUAUAUGUUUUGGUACAUUUUUAAUGUAAAUUCUUAGGACUGUUCAUAUUUUCACAUACAUAUGUUAAUCUUUAACCCUACCACUAACUCAAACCAAAAUUUCAUAUUAACCCUAACCUUACCUCUACAUAUUAACCAAUUUUACAUAAAUCCAUGUGAUCAGGUGUAUCAGGUGUAUAUAUGUGCCUGUGAGUGCUAGCUGUGCUUACUGGUUCAGAUAUAUAAGUGCGUAUGUAUAUGUAUGUAUGUAUGUAUAUAUAUGUACGUAUAUAUAUAUAUAUGUAUAUAUAUAUGUGUAUAUGUAUAUAUGUAUAUAUGUGUGUGUGUGUAUAUAUAUAUAUAUAUAUAUAUAUAUAUAUAUAUAUAUAUAUAUAUAUAUAUAUAUCUGACAGGAGACCUCAGCAGUCUUGUGCAGCCAAGCAAUUGCAUCAUCACAACCAAGUCCCUGGAUUGGCACCGGCAGGUUUCCAUGUUUGGCCAGAGUUAUUUAGUGCUGAGCACCGCAUUGGCCAGAACUCCAGUCCUCCCACAAGUUGAAGCCAGGAGGGCUGUGAGAACUCCCUUGGCUCCAAACAGCAAAAGUUGUGCAUAGACCCCAACCUCAAGCGCUACUGCAGGGGAGAGGGGGACGACACAACAUUCCUGCGCUGCCUCCUACACUCUGGCCCAGACAAGGAACCGGUACCCUAUGCCACCUCCUGGGCAAGUUCUGCAGCGCCCCCUCCUGCAACACAAGCCAUCCUCCCCAUCUUCCCGGGAACUCUGCUUCCCGCUCGCCCUCCCUGCACAUCAUGUGGCCCCACCCCUAUAUUGUUGGACACAGCCCUGCCCUCAACUCAUAAGUGAAUGCAUGAUGCGCGCACGCUCGACGCGCGCACGCUCCACACGCGCACUGUGAACUACUUCUGUGCAGUGGGUUUCCUGCCGCCUAGAAGUUUCAGGCAGAUGGUGGAGAAGCCCGUGUCUUCAAGUAGCUGCGGACCUACCUUUGGAAGGCUGCCUGGCCUGCUCUGCUCCUGGCCAAGAAGCUUUGUCGCCCUCUGGGAUGAAGUCCCUUCUGGCUUUCCACUUUGCGGUUCCUGGUGAGGAUGUGAGGCCUCCCACAAAGGCAGUCUGGCGCUCACCCCUGUGCUCCUGUUGGACAUUGUGGAUCCCAGGGAGAGCCUCAGGUAGAGAGGGCACCAGUGUGUCCAGCAGUUUGUGGGGUGCAGCACUGGCUGGAGCGGCGUCAUGGGACCAGAGCUGGGUAAGUAAUGUAUGGGGAAGAGGCAAAAUGUGUCUCUCUCCCUGUAAGGCGGUU